CCUACGGGUGGCAGCAGUCGAGAAUCAUUCACAAUGGGGGAAACCCUGAUGGUGCGACGCCGCGUGGGGGAAUGAAGGUCUUCGGAUUGUAAACCCCUGUCAUGUGGGAGCAAAUUAAAAAGAUAGUACCACAAGAGGAAGAGACGGCUAACUCUGUGCCAGCAGCAGCGGUAAUACAGAGGUCUCAAGCGUUGUUCGGAAUCACUGGGCGUAAAGCGUGCGUAGGCUGUUUCGUAAGUCGUGUGUGAAAGGCGCGGGCUCAACCCGCGGACGGCACAUGAUACUGGGAGACUAGAGUAAGGGAGGGGGAAGCGGAAUUCUCGGUGUAGCAGUGAAAUGCGUAGAUAUCGAGAGGAACACUCGUGGCGAAGGCGGGUUCCUGGACAUUAACUGACGCUGAGGCACGAAGGCCAGGGGAGCGAAAGGGAUUAGAUACCCGUGUAGUC
rnacentral:rRNA from 1 species